UAUUUUAUAUGUGCCUAGACAAAAUGUGCUCCUUGUCGUGUGCAGCAACCAUCCCAAACCCUCCGGACUCGUGUAACACCAUUAGUUCGCCGUGUGUUUCGAGCGAUCCACCAGUGUCGACAGUGAGUGCCCUAGUACAGCGCCCGUCCGAGCUGCCUUUGUUCUGCCGAGCUGCCUGCCCGCGCUCUCGUGAAAAAGUCUGGUACUGGGGCUUCGAAUCGUAGUGUAUGGAAGACUGUUGAAGGUUGUGCUUUUGUGGAGCUGGAGUUCAUCGGAAGUUCUACAGUGCUUGCGCCAGAGAAACUUCGGUACCUCUGUACCUGUUAGACGAAGGAGCGUUUGCCAAGUCUUGAAAGGUAGACAUCGGUGACGGUGUAUAUGUUGAAAAGGGCCUGCUGAAGAGGCUGUGCCUGGAUGCUAACAACUCAGGCUUUCACUUCGCUGAGGGCCUCCUUAAAGCUCCUUUUUUAAUAGAAGACGUUGAAGGGAGGUCCUUCUUUGGGCGGCUGUCAAAUGCCUUCCACAGAAGGAUCCGUUGGAUUCCAAGAAGGUCAACACCAUACUAGACUACACAACGCAACAUUUCAGACUACUUCCAGGGCAGCUGGAGAACUCGUCCUCAUUACUAUCCCGGGAAUAUUAAAUGGAUGUGUUCAAGCACAAA
rnacentral:lncRNA from 1 species